GAAAACCACUCAUGCGAGUUAUGGCAAGAGGCAUAAAAAAAUUCAAACCCUAAAACAUUAUUUCAUUCUUUGAUUUUCAUUGAAGGAGACUCAACCGCCAUGCGCUCUAUGGGUGAUUUCAAACUAGGGUUUUUAACUUGGAGCUUCUCUGGCUUUUUGCAUGAUCAAUAUGUGCCUUAUUUCUUUAUUCUCUAUUGUUAUGUCAUGAGUUUUGGCUAAAAGAAAAGCUAUAGGAAUGAAUGUAAUCUUUAUCGUCUCUUUUUAUAUAUUUAAGAAUGCUCUGUGUUGCAGUCGGACACUAUAACCCUUGACUAAGACUGAUCCUUAAUGGCUCUUGGUGCAUUCUUCUUCUCUUUCUUUGACGGUGUUUGACUGUGAAUCUGCUUUAAACUAUUGCAAAACUCAACCUUCAUAUCUCUUGAACUGAAAAAAAAAAAAUGCCUCCAAAGGUCAUCAACUCCAUUCAAAGAGAUUUUACAAGGUUGUCCAUGGCUGGAAACACUGUCUCUUAGGAAAGUUAUUGUAUACAUCUUUGAAAUGCUGCUCUUAGUGCUUUUGACUCAAAUUUGCCCCUUAUAGCCUUGUGGCCUUGGAUUUCCAUGACUGGGCUUUCAACAGUGAAUAUGGGAGCUCCUCCACUAUUUGGAUUGUUAUUGAUGCUUUGAUUUCUUAUUCUUUUGAGUGUGGCUGCUAUGAAGGUGAUCUUCGUGAAUAAAGAUUUGCUUCUUUGUAUCUUCUUUGUAUCUUUUAGAAAUGGUUUUUUGAUGGCUCUGAGUCCUUCAUACCACUGUGAUGAGUUCUUUGUAUUUGAGUGAUAUUAUCUCUUGAAAAUUUGUCUCCUGUUGUGUCUGAGAUGUCAUUGGUAGGCUGCUCUUGAUCUUUAUUGUAGACAAAACCAAGGGAGUGUCUUUUCAUUCCGUGGUUUGCUCAGUCUUCUUCCUUUUGGCUAAUGGCUGCUAUGAAAUAAUGGGCAUAUGUUGUUAUUGAUUGCUUCUACACAUAAAACCCUCAAUGUUAUAUACAUUGUUAAAUCUGAGACUGCAUUUUUAGCUAUUUGAGCUAUACUUUUGGAACUUUAAACACUGUUAUUAUUGUGCAUCCUUGUGUGCUGCUGUUAGGUCUGAGAUCAUCUUAUGGGUUACUAUUUGAUAUUAUGCCCUUCGAACUGGUGAAGAUAUUUCACGAAAUACAAACUGGGUCAUCUCAUGGAGCGGAUAGUGGGAUACUUGGAUCAAUGAAGUUGACUAGAAAAUAUUUCUACAGAACUCGUCAACCUAUCCAGGCAAUGAUGGGUUAUUUAUUUCCUUUCUCCAUACAUUCUUUUUCUUCUUUUGUAUUUAUAUUUCUAUGAUCAAUGUGAUCUCUUCACAGCUAUUCCCAUGACUUGUGUGGGCUCUUGUAAACAUUUUAUUCUUUAUAAAUAAAAAUGUAUUACAUGCA